ensembl:misc_RNA Metazoa_SRP Metazoan signal recognition particle RNA
GCCGGGCGUGGUGGUGCAUGCCUGUAAUCCCAGCUACUUAGGAGGCUGAGGCAGGAGAAUCGCUUGAACCCAGGAGGCGGAGGUUGCAGUGAGCUGAGAUGGCGCCACUGCACUCCAGCCUGGGUGACAGAGUGAGACUCGGUCUUAA